GAUGAACGCUGGCGGCGUGCCUAAUACAUGCAAGUCGAGCGAACAGACGAGGAGCUUGCUCCUCUGACGUUAGCGGCGGACGGGUGAGUAACACGUGGAUAACCUACCUAUAAGACUGGGAUAACUUCGGGAAACCGGAGCUAAUACCGGAUAAUAUCUUGAACCGCAUGGUUCAAGAGUGAAAGACGGUUUUGCUGUCACUUAUAGAUGGAUCCCCGCCGCAUUAGCUAGUUGGUAAGGUAACGGCCUACAAAGGCAACGAUGCUUACCCGACCGGAGAGGGGGAUCGGCAACACUGGAACUGAGAAACGGUCCAGACUCCUACGGGAGGAAGCAGUAGGGAAUCUUCCGCAAUGGGCGAAAGCUUGACGGAGCAACGCGGCGUGAGUGAUGAAGGUCUUCGGAUCGUAAAACUCUGUUAUUAGGGAAGAACAAAUGUGUAAGUAACUAUGCACGUCUUGACGGUACCUAAUCAGAAAGCCACGGCUAACUACGUG
rnacentral:rRNA from 1 species